GUUUAAAUGUCGGAUUCUUUAUGCUCCACCAAGGUAAUUAAGUUUCGAGUAGAGAAGCAAUCUGCCUUUAUAUGUAUAUAUUUCAAAAAUCAAAACUAAAACCCAACCCAGCCCCCAGAAGCACUUUAGAAUUCAUCAGAUUUUCAGCCUCAUUUGCUUCUCAGCGCCCAUGAGAAGGAAACAUUUUGGGGGAAACUCAUCCCAUCCAGUCACCCAGUCACCCAGUCAUCCAGUCAUCCACUCAUCCAGUCAGCUGCCAGCAAAUCAAAUUCCAGACAUUGGCCAAAGGUUUUCUCGCACUUGGAGCCUCACCUGCCGGAGCAAUGAGAAAUUGCGGUAGCAAACAAGUCCUCCAAUUAGCCGCGUGCCUCGGAUUCUUGCCACCUCCUCACCUGUUUGCCGAUGACUAGCUUCGUUUUACACUGAGAAUAAAGCCAGGAAUCGGAUGAGAUUAGACCUCAAGAUCAGUUACUCUUUUUUUAAGACUAUUACCAGACUAAUAUCUACCACUGUACUUGCCGUGUUAAUUGCCUUUCAUAAUUGACCAAAAAGGACAUGGAACUCUGAGCUGGAAACCGCUGGCGAAGCCAACUGAACUGAAGGCCCAGUGACCGCCGCCCGCUCUGGCCAAAAUGGUCAGAAAUUGGUCAAAUUCUUGGCCAAAAAGAGCAAAACUAGAAACUGUGCCACCUGGCCGAUAAUUCCUGUGGACAGGAGACCAAAAAUCAAAAAUCAGAAGCCAAAUACCAAAACGCAAGCCCGAGUGGCAGAAGAAGGAAGUCCUGGCGGCCAUGUUCGAUGCAACCAAUUAGGAGGACAAUUACCAGAAGGACCCAUUUGGCCGCAAGGACCUGGGAGCCUGACGAAUCGGAGGGGCUGUUGCACAACUGUGUACCUCCUUGUGUCGCUAAUGAGGAGUGCUGCUGGAAAGGAUAUGCUUCUGUCUAUGGCUCCCAACAAAAUGUCCUUUUUAAUGUCCUUCAAUUGGUUUCUAGUUAAUUUCCUUCUUCGUUUUUUUUUGUGGCGUUUUUAUGCCUUGCAAUUAAUUUGUUGGUUUAUUACGACCGCCCCCACUCAA